rnacentral:rRNA from 1 species
AUUGAACGCUGGCGGCAGGCCUAACACAUGCCAGUCGAGCGGAUGAAGGGAGCUUGCUCCUGGAUUCAGCGGCGGACGGGUGAGUAAUGCCUAGGAAUCUGCCUGGUAGUGGGGGAUAACGUCCGGAAACGGGCGCUAAUACCGCAUACGUCCUGAGGGAGAAAGUGGGGGAUCUUCGGACCUCACGCUAUCAGAUGAGCCUAGGUCGGAUUAGCUAGUUGGUGGGGUAAAGGCCUACCAAGGCGACGAUCCGUAACUGGUCUGAGAGGAUGAUCAGUCACACUGGAACUGAGACACGGUCCAGACUCCUACGGGAGGCAGCAGUGGGGAAUAUUGGACAAUGGGCGAAAGCCUGAUCCAGCCAUGCCGCGUGUGUGAAGAAGGUCUUCGGAUUGUAAAGCACUUUAGGUUGGGAGGAAGGGCAGUAAGUUAAUACCUUGCUGUUUUGACGUUACCAACAGAAUAAGCACCGGCUAACUUCGUG